GGCCGAUGAUGUAAGAAAUAUUUGCUACUCUUGAUGGUAAUUGGUAAACAAUCCCACCUGAUGAUUCCUUUCCACCGAGAUCUCUGAGGCC